GAUGAACGCUGGCGGUAUGCUUAACACAUGCAAGUCGAACGGACUCUUCGGAGUUAGUGGCGGACGGGUGAGUAACGCGUGAGAAUCUGGCUUUGGGUUCGGGACAACCACUGGAAACGGUGGCUAAUACCGGAUGUGCCGAGAGGUAAAAGAGAAAUUGCCUGAAGAUGAGCUCGCGUCUGAUUAGCUAGUUGGUGAGGGAAAGGCCCACCAAGGCAGCGAUCAGUAGGAGGUCUGAGAGGAUGACCAGCCACCACGGGAGUGAGACACUGCCCAGACUACUACGGGAGGAAGCAGUGGGGAAUUAUCCGGAAUGAGCGAAAGGCUGACGGAGCAAUAACGCGUGAGGAAAGAAGGCUCUUGGAUUGUAAAACUCUUUUCUUAGGGAAGAACAAAAUGACGGUACCUAAGGAAUAAGCACCGGCUAACUCCGUG
rnacentral:rRNA from 1 species